AUUUAAUUUAUAUUUAAAAAAAUAACAUUACAUUUUCAUUGUAAAAAUAAGAAAAACUAAAUUUCUUUAUAAAUU
rnacentral:tRNA from 1 species